rnacentral:rRNA from 1 species
GAUGAACGCUGGCGGCGUGCCUAAUACAUGUAAGUCGAACGGGGACUUUGUAUUCGUACAGAGCCCUAGUGGCGAACGGGUGAGUAACGCGUUGGUGACCUGCCCCGAAGGGAGGGACAACAGCUCGAAAGGGCUGCUAAUACCUCAUGUGGUCGUAAGAGUUAGAGGUCUUACGUCUAAAGGGAGCAAUUCGCUUCGGGAGGGGCCUGCGUCCCAUCAGCUUGUUGGUAGGGUAAUGGCCUACCAAGGCUACGACGGGUAGGGGGCCUGAGAGGGUGACCCCCCACACUGGCACUGAAACACGGGCCAGACACCUACGGGUGGCAGCAGUAGGGAAUAUUGCACAAUGGGCGAAAGCCUGAUGCAGCAACGCCGCGUGCACGAUGAAGGCCUUCGGGUCGUAAAGUGCUUUUCGGGGAGAUGAGAUAGGACAGUAUCCCCGGAAUAAGGAUCGGCUAACUACGUGCCAGCAGCCGCCGCAGUAA